rnacentral:misc_RNA from 1 species
UCCGAGUUAUCCCCGGCAGUCUCACUAGAGUGCCCAUCCGAAAUGCUGGCAACUAAUGACAAGGGUUGCGCUCGUUGCGGGACUUAACCCAACAUCUCACGACACGAGCUGACGACAACCAUGCACCACCUGUCUCCUCCGCCCCGAAGGGAAGAUCCUAUUAAAGACCGGUCGUAGGGAUGUCAAGUUCUGGUAAGGUUCUUCGCGUUGCUUCGAAUUAAACCACAUGCUCCGCUGCUUGUGCGGGUCCCCGUCAAUUCCUUUGAGUUUCACACUUGCGUGCGUACUCCCCAGGCGGAGCACUUAAUGCGUUAACUGCGGCACCGAGGCCUUGCGACCCCGACACCUAGUGCUCAUCGUUUACGGCGUGGACUAC